CUUCCAGGCAGAUAAGGUCAUGGGGAGGAGGACUGCACACACCCCCUGCACCAGUGUUUCUCUACACCUCCCCCACCCCCAAGUGACUCUCAUUCCAGGGCUUAACCUCUAAGGAGCGCAAGACCCAAGCCGAUGACAGGGUGAAGUUGACUGAGCACCUCAUCCCUCUGCUGCCCCAGCUCCUGGCCAAGGUACCACUGCCCCUCCACUCAGCAUCACACCAAGAGAAGUGAAAGGAAAUGGCCUCUAUGGGGGUGGGAGUAGGAAUUAGCAAUGUGUCAGCUUGUAAGGAGGCCUCCCUGUCAAUCAUCACAGUUCUCAGCUGAUGCAGAGAAGGUCACUCCCCUGCUCCAGCUUCUCAGCUGCUUUGACCUCCACAUCUACUGCACUGGGCGCUUGGAGAAGCACCUGGAGCUGUUCCUGCAGCAACUCCAGGAGGUGGUGGUGAAGCAUGCAGAGCCGGCAGUGCUUGAGGCUGGGGCGCAUGCCCUCUACCUGCUCUGUAAUCCCGAAUUCACUUUCUUCAGCCGGGCAGACUUUGCCCGCAGCCAGCUAGUAGAUUUGCUGACUGACCGCUUCCAGC
rnacentral:sRNA from 1 species